rnacentral:tRNA from 1 species
GUAAGCAUGGGGUAGUGGUAUGAGCACUGGACUAUGACUCUGGAGACCAGAGUUCAAAUCCCUGUUCAGACA